AGUGAACGCUGGCGGUAGGCCUAACACAUGCAAGUCGAACGGCAGCACAGUAAGAGCUUGCUCUUACGGGUGGCGAGUGGCGGACGGGUGAGGAAUACAUCGGAAUCUACUUUUUCGUGGGGGAUAACGUAGGGAAACUUACGCUAAUACCGCAUACGACCUACGGGUGAAAGCAGGGGAUCUUCGGACCUUGCGCGAUUGAAUGAGCCGAUGUCGGAUUAGCUAGUUGGCGGGGUAAAGGCCCACCAAGGCGACGAUACGUAGCUGGUCUGAGAGGAUGAUCAGCCACACUGGAACUGAGACACGGACCAGACUCCUACGGGAGGCAGCAGUGGGGAAUAUUGGACAAUGGGCGCAAGCCUGAUCCAGCCAUACCGCGUGGGUGAAGAAGGCCUUCGGGUUGUAAAGCCCUUUUGUUGGGAAAGAAAAGCAGCAGGUUAAUACCCCGCUGUUCUGACGGUACCCAAAGAAUAAGCACCGGCUAACUUCGUG
rnacentral:rRNA from 1 species